rnacentral:misc_RNA from 1 species
UGCUGUCAAUGCAUGCUUGGCUCCUGUCUAUUCUGUAGAAGGGAUGCAUGUAAUUACAGUGGAGGGAGUUGGGAACCACAAAAAUGGUUUGCAUCCACUUCAAGAAUCAUUGGCACGCUCUCAUGGCUCCCAGUGUGGAUUCUGUACUCCUGGGUUUAUCAUGUCAAUGUAUGCACUAUUAAGGUCAAGCCAAACACCGCCCACAGAAGAGCAAAUUGAAGAAUGCCUUGCUGGAAAUUUGUGCCGUUGCACUGGUUACAGG